rnacentral:rRNA from 1 species
UGAACGAUCUGACGUGAAAGAAACUUUCUUUUUCUUAACCUAUUUAAGUUAGUAAUUAUGUAAAAAAACAUAAAUAUUUUAGAGGGACGACAAGACCCUAAAAGCUUAAUUUGAAAUAAUUUUAUACUUAAAUAAAACUAUUAAUUAUUACAAAAGUUUUGCUGGGGCGGCAAAUCUCUAAACUAGAUUUUUUAAAACACUCUAAGUGGGUAUUAGUUACCUUAAAAAAUAAAAAGAAAAGUUACUUUAGGGAUAACAGCAUAAUUAACUAACAGAGCUCUUAUCGACUAGUUUGAUUAUGACCUCGAUGUUGAAUUGAAACACUUUAAGGAGCAGAAUCUUUAUACAGUAAGUCUGUUCGACUUUUAAAAUUUCACAUGAUCUGAGUUCAAACCGGA